GCCAGCAUGGUGUAGUGGUUUGAGCAUAAGACUAUGACUCUGGAGAACAGGGUUCAAUUCCUGGCUUGCUUGCC